rnacentral:rRNA from 1 species
GAUGAACGCUGGCGGCGUGCCUAAUACAUGCAAGUCGAGCGAACAGACGAGGAGCUUGUUCCUCUGACGUUUGCGGCGGACGGGUGAGUAACACGUGGAUACCCUACCUAUAAGACUGGGAUAACUUCGGGAAACCGGCGCUAAUACCGGAUAAUAUAUUGAUCCGUAUGGUUCAAUAGUGAAAUACGGUUUUGCUGUUACUUAUUGAUGGUUCCUUGUCGCAUUAGCUAGUUGGUAAGGUAACGGCUUACCAAGGCAACGAUGCGUAGCCGACCUGAGAGGGUGAUCGGCCACACUGGAACUGAGACACGGUCCAGACUCCUACGGGAGGCAGAAGUAGGGAAUCUUCCGCAAUGGGCGAAAGCUUGACGGAGAAACGCCGCGUGAGUGAGGAAGGUCUUCGGAUCGUAAAACUCUGUUAUUAGGGAAGAACAAAUGUGUAAGUAACUAUGCACGUCUUGACGGUACCUAAUCAGAAAGCCACGGCUAACUACGUG